rnacentral:rRNA from 1 species
AUACGGAGGGGGCUAGCGUUGUUCGGAAUUACUGGGCGUAAAGCGCGCGUAGGCGGACCAGUCAGUCAGGGGUGAAAUCCCGGGGCUCAACCCCGGAACUGCCUUUGAUACUGCUGGUCUUGAGUUCGAGAGAGGUGAGUGGAAUUCCGAGUGUAGAGGUGAAAUUCGUAGAUAUUCGGAGGAACACCAGUGGCGAAGGCGGCUCACUGGCUCGAUACUGACGCUGAGGUGCGAAAGCGUGGGGAGCAAACAGGAAUAGAAACCCUUGUAGUCC